AGCAAAUAAACUGUAGAUAAUGAAAGUUGGGCUUCCAAUCAUUAGAGAAAGAAAUUAUACACAAGGAAAAAGGAGACACUAAAGUGAUCCCUGUGGUGUUGGACUAGAAUCACAGGCAGUGACCGGGCCAUGUAUUAAAUGUCACUGGAGUGCUGGCUUCUGACCAGCAAGUGCUUACCUGAAGGAGAUAGAGGAGUCCUGGAACAAACAAGCCUAAUGAAGAUUUCACAGGGAUGGAAUAUUUUAAUUAGCCACUGAAAGGCAGACUUCCCCUUGACCAAAAGCUCCAACUUUGAAGUGAAACACGAACUGCUCCACUAAAAUAACAUCAAUCCUGCCCUUAGACCUGUUUGCUGCCCAACUCCACAAAAAGGACAUCACAAUACAAUGGCUUGGGCCUUGUCCUGGCCUGUAGCUCUUGAUGUGUCCCAGGCAACCCUGGACUGCCACAAAGGAGGCCAAGGGAGAGCAAACAGGAGAAGGGGACAGAGCCAAUGAGGCCACCCUGUUCUGCAGGACACUAGCUCCAUGGAAGUCUGGGGAGAGAGUUGCCAAGUUUACUUUCACUGUCCCUAUCUUCUUAUCAAUCAAGUAAAUUUGUUUUUAAUUAUGUAUUCACUGAGAAAAUUUGGGAAAAAAUAGAUAUAAAAAGAAACAGAAACAUGAGCUUACUCUAAAAACACAAGUAUUAUGCUUUUGGAAUCUAUUUUCUAUUUUUUGUUGUUUUAACAUAGCUGAGAUUAUAUUUUAU